rnacentral:pre_miRNA from 1 species
UUACUCCCUCCAUCCCAAAAUAAACAUAACCAUGAGUUUUCGUACCAAACUUUGAUCAUCCGUCUUAUUUAAAUUUUUUAAUGAUUAGUAUUUUUAGUGUUAUUAGAUUAUAAAACAUAAAUAGUACUUUAUGCGUGAUUUAUGUUUUUUAGCUUUUUCAAAAAAAAAUUAAAUAAGACGAACGAUUAAAGUUGGGUACGAAAGCUUAUAGCUGUGUUUAUUUUGGGACGGAGGGUGUAU